rnacentral:rRNA from 1 species
UAGGGAAUCUUCGGCAAUGGGGGGAACCCUGACCGAGCAACGCCGCGUGAGUGAAGAAGGUUUUCGGAUCGUAAAGCUCUGUUGUUAAGGAAGAACGAGUGUGAGAAUGGAAAGUUCAUACUGUGACGGUACUUAACCAGAAAGCCACGGCUAACUACGUGCCAGCAGCCGCGGUAAUACGUAGGUGGCAAGCGUUGUCCGGAUUUAUUGGGCGUAAAGCGAGCGCAGGCGGUCAAUUAAGUCUGAUGUGAAAGCCCCCGGCUCAACCGGGGAGGGUCAUUGGAAACUGGUUGGCUUGAGUGCAGAAGAGGAGAGUGGAAUUCCAAGUGUAGCGGUGAAAUGCGUAGAUAUAUGGAGGAACACCAGUGGCGAAGGCGACUCUCUGGUCUGUAACUGACGCUGGGGCUCGGAAGCGUGGGUAGCAAACAGG